rnacentral:rRNA from 1 species
UACGUAGGGUGCGAGCGUUGUCCGGAAUUAUUGGGCGUAAAGAGCUCGUAGGCGGUUUGUUGCGUCGGCUGUGAAAACUUCACGCUUAACGUGGAGCCUGCAGUCGAUACGGGCAGACUUGAGUUCGGCAGGGGAGACUGGAAUUCCUGGUGUAGCGGUGAAAUGCGCAGAUAUCAGGAGGAACACCGGUGGCGAAGGCGGGUCUCUGGGCCGAUACUGGCGCUGAGGAGCGAAAGCGUGGGGAGCGAACAGG